rnacentral:rRNA from 1 species
GACGAACGCUGGCGGCGUGCUUAACACAUGCAAGUCGAACGGAAAGGCCCUGCUUUUGUGGGGUGCUCGAGUGGCGAACGGGUGAGUAACACGUGAGUAACCUGCCCUUGACUUUGGGAUAACUUCAGGAAACUGGGGCUAAUACCGGAUAGGAGCUCCUGCUGCAUGGUGGGGGUUGGAAAGUUUCGGCGGUUGGGGAUGGACUCGCGGCUUAUCAGCUUGUUGGUGGGGUAGUGGCUUACCAAGGCUUUGACGGGUAGCCGGCCUGAGAGGGUGACCGGCAACUUUGGGACUGAGACAGGGCCCAACCCCGAGCGGGAGGAGGAGGGGGAGAUAAUGGAAAAAGGGGGGGAGGCCAGGGGCGACAACCGCGGGGGGGGAAGGGCGGCUGUGGGUGUGAAACCCGUUUGCGCCGGUGACAGGGGGGGAGUGAGGGAAAGGGAUAAGGAGACCCGGGAAAAAUACGUC